GAGAGAGAGAGAGACCUUGAAGGGAUCAGGAACCACGUUACAAGAUGCUUCAUUUGUAGAGUUAAAUCUUGCUUGUCUUUGUGUCUGUUUGUCUGUCUGUCUGUCUGUCUUUCUCUUCAUCUAGCUCACCGUCUUUCUCUCCUCUAUUUCCUUACCUAUCUAUCUCUCUAACUUCACUUAUUUUUUUCUUUACGUAUUUUUUCUUUACAUAUGUUCGUUCGUCCAUUCGUCUGAGUUCAAAUUAUCUUCUGUAUUCAACUUCUUCUUUGUCUGUCUGUCUAUCUGUCUAUCUGUCUAGUUGUCGAAGAGUACUGGUUUCUCUCUGCCUGCUUGCUUGCCUGCCUGUGUGUCUGUCUGUCUAUCUGUCUAGUUGUCGAAGAGUACAGGUUUCUCUCUGCCUGCUUGCUUGCCUGCCUGUGUCUGUCUGUCUGUUUGUGUUCAUCUGUUUAUCUCUUCUCGUUUGCGUGUCUUUAUCUGAGAGUGAAAGAUAACGUCUGUGUCAACCUCUUUUAUGCAUAUCUCUUAAUCUGCUCUCUCUCUCUCUCUCUCUCUCUCUCUCUCUCUCUCUCUCUCUCUCUCUCUCUCUCUCUCUCUCUCUCUCUCUCUCUCUUUAUCUAUGUAUCAAUCUAUCUGUGUUUGUGUCCCAAGAUUCACAUAUGAGAUGCAACACACACACACACCCCACCCACCCCACACACACCUCCCCCCUCCCUCCAUAAACCAGUACUAACCCCGCCCCCCGCACCCCGCCCUCCGCCGACCUCGCCCUCGCCCUCGUCCUCGUCCUCGCUGCAAGGUUGCCGCGGAAACAGAUUCUCGCCGAUCAAGCAAGAAAAAUAAAGAAGGAGCGCGACUUAAUGGUCACUUUGGGAGGUUAAUGCGGCGAUAUUUACGACUUGUUUAUGUGGAGAGCCGGCGAGAGGUGGAGGAGGGAGGGAGGGUGGAGGGGUGGAGGAAGGAGGACAAAAGGACGUAAAGGAUAUUGAGGAAGAAACAAAGGAAGAAAGUAGAGAUCAUAAGGUACUAGAGAAAGACAAAAGAGGUAAACUGAGAUGGAAAGCGAGAGGUGGAGGAGGGAGGGAGGGUGGAGGGGUGGAGGAAGGAGGAUAGAAGGACGUAAAGGAUUUUGAGGAAGGAACAAAGGAAGAAAGUAAAGAGAUCAUAAAUUACUAGAGGUAGAAAGACAAAAGAGAUAAAUUGAGGUGGAAAGGGAGAGAAAGAAGAGAGAAAGAAGAGGAGAGAAAGAAAAGAGGAUAGGGGGAGAAGGGAAGGACGUAAAGGAUAUGAAGGAAGGAAGAAACGAUUCAAGGAAGAAGAGUUUAGGAAAGUUAUGGAAGUAGAGAGACAAAGAGAGAGGAGGCAAAGUGGAGAGCAAUGAAGGAAGAGGAGGAGGGAGGAGAAGGGAAGAAGGACGUAAAGAAUAUGAAGAAAGAAAGAAAGAAAGAAAGAAAGAAAGAAAGAAAGAAAGAAAGUAUAGAGUGUUAAGGAGUUAUUGGAAGCAGAAAAACAAAGGGACAAACAAAGUGAGAUGAGGAGGGAGAAGAGGAAAAAGAAGAAGGGAGAGAAGAGAAGGGAAGAAGGACUUAAAGAAUAUAAAAAAGAAAGAAAGAAAGAAAGGAAGCAAGGAAGUACAGGGUGUUAGGAGAUAUUGGAAGCAGAAAAAUAAAGGGAGAAAAUGUAAAGUGAAGUGAGGAGGGAGAAGAGGAAAACAGGAAGGGAGACAGAAGGGAAGAAG